rnacentral:rRNA from 1 species
UCCCUACGGGAGGCAGCAGUGAGGAAUAUUGGUCAAUGGCCGGAAGGCUGAACCAGCCAAGCCGCGUGAAGGACGAAGGUGCCAAGCAUUGUAAACUUCUUUUGUCAAGGGACAAAAUCAGGCUCGAGAGCCUGACCGAGGGUACUUGAAGAAAAAGCAUCGGCUAACUCCGUGCCAGCAGCCGCGGUAAUACGGAGGAUGCGAGCGUUAUCCGGAUUUAUUGGGUGUAAAGGGUGCGUAGACGGGAAAUUAAGUUAGUUGUGAAAUCCCUCGGCUUAACUGAGGAACUGCAACUAAAACUGGUU